GUGCUGUAGGAAAGGAGAAAGGUUAGCACUCCCCUGGAGGAUGGAAGAGGUCAUAGUGACCUUUACAACACAUGUAAGGUUAAGAUAUUGCCACCGACUUCAUAGCAUCUAACCAUGUUUUAGA